UACGUAUGGGGCAAGCGUUGUUCGGAGUCACUGGGCGUAAAGAGCUCGUAGGCGGUUUACCAAGUCAGUUGUGAAAACCCGGGGCUCAACUCCGGGACGGCAAAUGAAACUGGUAGGCUUGAGGACAGGAGAGGAGAGUGGAAUUCCUAGUGUAGCGGUGAAAUGCGUAGAUAUUAGGAGGAACACCGGUUGCGAAGGCGGCUUACUGGCUGGUAACUGACGCUGAGGAGCGAAAGCGUGGGUAGCAAACAGG
rnacentral:rRNA from 1 species